UAGCCUACGGGGGGCAGCAGUGAGGAAUAUUGGUCAAUGGGCGCGAGCCUGAACCAGCCAAGUAGCGUGAAGGAUGACUGCCCUACGGGUUGUAAACUUCUUUUAUAAAGGAAUAAAGUGAGGCACGUGUGCCUUUUUGUAUGUACUUUAUGAAUAAGGAUCGGCUAACUCCGUGCCAGCAGCCGCGGUAAUACGGAGGAUCCGAGCGUUAUCCGGAUUUAUUGGGCGUAAAGGGAACGCAGGCGGUCUUUUAAGUCUGAUGUGAAAGCCUUCGGCUUAACCGGAGGAGUGCUUUGGAAACUGGG
rnacentral:rRNA from 1 species